rnacentral:rRNA from 1 species
UACGUAGGGUGCGAGCGUUGUCCGGAAUUAUUGGGCGUAAAGAGCUUGUAGGCGGUUUGUCGCGUCUGCUGUGAAAAUCCGGGGCUCAACCCCGGACUUGCAGUGGGUACGGGCAGACUAGAGUGUGGUAGGGGAGACUGGAAUUCCUGGUGUAGCGGUGGAAUGCGCAGAUAUCAGGAGGAACACCGAUGGCGAAGGCAGGUCUCUGGGCCACUACUGACGCUGAGACGCGAAAGCGUGGGGAGCGAACAGG